UACGAAGGGGGCUAGCGUUGCUCGGAAUUACUGGGCGUAAAGCGCACGUAGGCGGCUUUUUAAGUCGGAGGUGAAAUCCUGGAGCUCAACUCCAGAACUGCCUUCGAUACUGAAGAGCUCGAGUCCGGGAGAGGUGAGUGGAACUGCGAGUGUAGAGGUGAAAUUCGUAGAUAUUCGCAAGAACACCAGUGGCGAAGGCGGCCUCAGCUG
rnacentral:rRNA from 1 species